rfam:Candidatus Terrybacteria bacterium RIFCSPHIGHO2_01_FTLL_48_17 rifcsphigho2_01_scaffold_1354, whole genome shotgun sequence.
GGAGAGGUGGCUGAGUGGCCGAAAGCGGCGCCGUGCUAAGGCGUUAACCCCGCAAGGGGUUCGUGGGUUCGAAUCCCACCCUCUCCG